GGUGUUUCACCAUGUUAGCCAGGAUGGUCUUGAUCUCCUGACCUCGUGAUCCACCCGCCUUGGCCUCCCAAAGUGCUGGGAUUACAGGCAUGAGCCACCACGCCCGGCCAAGUGGAAUGAAUUUUCAAGAGCAUUGAAGUUACCAUAAGGGGCCUAGAAAUACUCUGUAUACCUAAAUAGUGCUCUAGGAGCCCUCUGGCACAAAUGGAAGAAGAAAGAAGGGAGCAAGUAGCUAAAAUUAAGAAGAUGGAGAUGGAGCAGGUGUUUGAGAUGAAGGUCAAAGAAAAAGUUCAAAAACUGAAGGACUCUGAAGCUGAGGCCUUCGGGAAGUGUCGAGUCCGGGACGCCCAGCGCCGGCCGGAGCAGGUGGAAGGGAAG
rnacentral:lncRNA from 1 species